AUCUCAGGCACAGAGGAUAGUCUGGAAAGACCUAACCUGCACAUGCAAAUCUAUUAAGAAAGAUGAAGUCUUAGGCUUAUAUGGAGCUAAAUAAUUGCAUGUUUAAUGCAAUGCCAGGGUACAGGUAAUGGUGAUUGGAGUUGGAGGGGUGAUGUGUGUGGUGGGUGAGGAAGUCAGGGCUGAGUCCUAGGUGAGAUCUAUAAGAGUGAUGUUUAUUUAUGCAUCUGAGGGCUGGGACUCUCAUGACAGGAUUUAUUUUCAUUCUCUUUCAAGGAGAGCCAUGCUGCCUUGCUGCUUCUUGCUCGUGUACACAGAGCACUUGGUGUCUUGCGAAUCCCCUUUGACGCCGGUGCCUUUCCAGGCUUUGUUGGGCCAGGAGAUGGUUUUGCAGCAGCAGAAGACUAUGAACUGGGCUUUGGGAGAUAGGAUCUCUGGUUGUAUUCUGGCUAUCCACACUC
rnacentral:lncRNA from 1 species